GGCCGCGCGCGGCAUUGUCGUCAGCGCCGCGCAAGCGCGCGCGGCCCGGCCGAUCUUUUUAAUCGCCAAACCGGCGGCGGUGUAGGAGCUCUAUUCGCUUCGGGAUAGUGUUUGAGUCCUCUUACUCUAUCCGUCAAUCAACUUUGUGGCUCACAACUUGCGUUCGCCAUCUUGGUCUGAACUGGAAAUGGCCUGCUCCCUGAGGGAAGUACAUUUAGUGGCAACUUUCGGAAGAGAAUUGAAUAAACACCUGAAAAGGAGAAAGAAAAAUGCAUCGUCUCCCUUACCUCCAAGUUAUCAGCAUAUAUACUACUCCUCCCCCGCUCCUAUCGUUGCUGAAGGAGGCUCACUGGACCUGAAACGUUUAACUCUGUAUUUCUCCCCCCCCCCCCCCCCCCCUCCAAGUUUCUCCAGCAAUUUCUGUUUUUGUUGAAGACAAAAAUGCACAGUUUUGAUGCAGGAUCUGGGGCUAACUCUUUCCAAGUGAAAUGGAUUACAUUAGAUGCUCCUACAUUGCAGUUUACAGCUUGAUUUUAAGAUACAGAUGUGAAUACUGUUCGAAAAUGAUAACUGUCAAAGAAAAAGUCAGCUGUGUGUUUAUGGUUAGCAGGAUUGAAGUCCAUAACAGCCGAGAAGGGAGUCUGCUGUUCAUCAUAGGAAAAUGACACUACGCAGUAACUCAAUGAUUGGAUGAAUAGGUUUUUUAGGAAAUUGGUUCAGUAAAUGAUGAAAAAAGGUUGGGGAGGCCUUGAAUCAUCAAUUGUGAACAUUAUUUUUGUAAUAUUGCAGAAUUGCAUUGUGUAGUGUUUGGAACCAAGUGGAUCUUAUUGACGGAGAACCUUGAUUGGCGAUUGUUAACAUGGUCCAAUCAGGGACCUCUGGCUGACAGAUAUAAACAGGGGAUUCAGAGUCUCCUCACUGACUCCAAGCUGGCUGGUCACAGUGAGUGUACUGUGCACGUGUAAAUAAAGGGUUACUUGGUGACAGGAUACUGGCCUCAGUACAUUUUACUUUGCCUCUGAACUGUGACAACUUAAAUAUUUCAGAUGGCAUUUUAUUCUAGCCAAUUGUGCUCCCUGGGCCCAAUUUCAAACACGCAGUAGUUUUUGAAUGGCAUUUUGCCAGACUACUGAAUUAUGUAGAUGCAUACCCUGUGUUCUUGAUCUGGCCCAUAUGACAAUUCUUAUGGGGCAUUUUGAAACUCUUAUCAAAACCACGUUCUUUAGAUGAACUUCAGUCCAAGAUCAGAAAUGCAAGUCAUGAAAUCAAUUAGCAGCAACUUAAGAAUUGUUUCAAUGAAGUGGAAAAUGUGAAUAAUAAGUGUAAAAUCUGGUGGUUAUGUUGAAGUCAUGAAAUUUGACCUGGGUAGUGUUGAGACUUUAUGAAUUAGUUUUCAUGUUUGCAGUUUGUCUCUAUAUAAUAUGUACAUCCAAAGUUUGACAUUUGAAAGAUAGUAGGAACUGCAGAUGCUGGAGAAUCCGAGACAACAAGGUGCAGAGCUGGAUGAACACAGCAGGCCAAGCAGCAUCAUAGGAGCAGAAAGGCUGACGUUUCGGGCCUAAAGUUGCACAAGGGCUUUAUAAACACCCAGUAAGGUAUGAUAUGGAAGUGAAUAACCACUAAACUAGCGACACAGAAACAAAAGCAGAAGAAUGUAGUAACGAAUGUCGCAACAAACUUUAAAACUUCUUUGAAGCAGAGAAAGCAUUUUGGUUUUAACUGUAUGAGAGACAGCAAUAGAAGAUGAAAAACAAUUCAACUCCAAGUGGCUAAGCAUAACUUUAAAUAUAAGCAAAGAACUGCAGGUGGUGGAAACCUUAAUUAAAAGUAGAGUGCAAAAAGUACUCGGCAGUUCUGGCAGUAGCUGUGGGGAAAGAGAACAAUACCUAAAGAUUUCAGGGCAGUGACCCUACAUCAGACUUUAACCCUAUUUUUCUCCCAGUCCUGACAGCAUCUAGAGGAUUUCUAGAAUGUUCUGCCUUUAUAGCAACUAAGGAAAACAAGAGUGGGUGGGUGGGUGUGGGUGGAGAGAAAAAGAGCAUUGAAGCUGGUGAGAUGUGUGUGGAAAAAUCAGUAAAUGGAAACAGGCAGGUAGGAAAAUGUGGAGAAGAGCAUUUUUCUAAAAAAAAGCUACUCCCCAAAAAGUGGUAUUGAUAACCCAAAAGAUCUUUUACAUAAAUAUUCAACAGUUGGCUGAACUGAGUACGGAGAACAUUAUGAUUUUGAAGAAUGAUGAAAUGCUAUAGGUCAGCUUAUGGGACUGAACAUAUAAUUAAAUGCAUAUGGAAUAGUUGCCACUUAUUGAUCAGCAUGAAAUUGAGGACCCCGUUAUGUCAUUAAACAUGUAUGAUGUCUUUCAUAUUGAUUUUUAUUCUUAGUAAUCUUAACAUCCUUUGUUUAGUUUGACUUGCCUGGAUGUUAUUUUGCAAAACUUCAGUGGAAAACUUCAAGAGGUGUUCCCCAGGUGGUGGAGUGUGUGCCCAACUAGAGGGGGUCUGAAAAAAUGCCCAAACUUUGGAAAGCAAAGUUAAAUGGUGUAAAUGUAACAGAAAGAGUAUAGAUGUCAGGUCAUAAUUUUGACUUGAGUAACACUUUUACAGGGAAGACUGUUUAAGCUUCUCAAGGUCAGAAGAUUAUUUUAGUAUUAAAUUUAAAAUGAACAUUUCUGUGGAGUCAGUGGCAAUGAUGUAAAGGCAACUCUCUUUUGCUAGAAAAGCUAUCACAUUGCUGCUUGUCUUACGUUCCAUCAUUCCCUCCUUUUCUAUUGUUCCUGUAUCCUUGUCUAUGACAUUACUUAACUGGUUGCUUCAGUGAUGUAGUAAUUGAAAUCCACUCCAAUUCUAUAUUUGCUCUCAGUAAAGAAAUUAUUUGCUAAUGAAUUUAAGGCAAGGCCAUCCUAUCUAAGCAAUUUUCCAAAGUGUCUGAACUCUUCCUCCAUAUUUACAUCAUCCCUCAAGCCUUGCAUUUAAAUGGCUUUGUUAGUAAUCCUGAGAUUGUCUAAGAUAUUGCAGUUGAAACUGACUUAGAUGAAAAUCCUUUUUUUCAGGCUUCAAUAAGAACAGUAUUUUUCUGUUAAUCUAUCUUUUCCAGUGGUUUUCUCACUUGCUUCAUUAUGUCCCAUAUUGCUACACCUGAGAAUCAAGAUAUUAUAUGGAGCUCUUGACAUGACUGCAAAUUUAAACGAUAAAAUGCAUGAAAUAAUGUGAACUAUGUAGAAAUUUAAUCAGACUUGUUCAAAUCAGGACUCUGGCUCUGGACGAUGAAGAGGAACUGUUGUAUUUGCAAAAUUCAAGGCCAGAGGAGACCAAUGAAAGUGAUUGCUAAAAAUUAACAGCAGCAUUGGGGGGAGGUGGGGAGAAAUUGUAUGCAAUCAGGGGGUCAGAUCUGGAAUACAAUGAUUGAGGUGCGUUCAGUCGAAGCUUCACAAGGGGAUUGGAUCAUUUAUCUGAAGACAUAAUUUACAUGUAAAUGGUGAAAAGACUAGAUUAAAUUCUCUUGCAGAGAGCUGGCAAGGAUACAUCAGGCUGAAUGGCCUCCUUCUAUAACCAUUUUCUGGAAAGGUCGUCCUCCUAAUGGAAGAGCUCAACAUUCUGUUCGGGGAAAUGGCCAAAACAUUGAAGAGUACAUUUGGUGGAGGACAGCAAAUUAUAAAAAGGCUCAUAAGUUACAUUAUCAUACUGAGAAUAGACUAAAGGAAUAAGCAUGGAGUUAAACAGAUAUGUUUGUUACAGAAGUAAAGGGAGCCAUGAAAGGACGGGAGUACAAAAGAAUAUUUGAUUUGAAAAUGGAUUGUGAACAGGAAACAAGCAAAAAGAGCAGUUUCAUACUUUGAGAAACCAUUUGGCUGAGUGAAGCAUGAAAAAUUAAUUUUAUAUCUUGGUAGGAUAUCAAUUAAUGAGAAUGGCAGGGCCUUUUAAAAAUCUUUGCAAGAAAAUAUCAAGCAACAGCAAAGUUGAUAGUCUUUUUAUUACUGAUAAAUGUCAGGAGGAAUGUGAUUUGGGAGGGAAAACAAAAUCGACCAAACAUUUCAACACAUUCUACAUUAAUUAUUACAACUGGCAAAUGUAGCUGGGGUCAAGCCCAAUAGGAGAAAAAAAAUGAAAACCAAUUUGAAGGUGCAGUAAUGAUAGCAGCACUUAUUGCAGAUACAAAUGACAUUGCACGAGACUGCUGAUUUGUAGUAUUUAUUUUCCAAACAAUCGCAAAGAAAGAGAGAUAACAAGGUGUAGAGCUGGAUGAACACAGCAGGCCAAGCAGCAUCAGAGGAGCAGGAAAGCUGACAUUUCGGGAGCCUACAAAGAAAGAACAUGCCAAAUUGGAUUUGAGCGCUUCUGUAGAACUCUGACCAGCACCACUGCACUGGGAACAAAGACCCCCUGUGGAAUUUCAGCACCAGAAUGCUUUGUGAUAAAUAUGGACCACAACGAUGUGAAAAUUAGCUUUUGGAUAUUGAAGUAGGACAGGUGUUAGAAUUGUAAUGCUUCAAACAGGUGUUGAAAAACGAUGAUUGGUAAAAUACUGGAACUCUUAAGAAAGAAAACGUGAUUAUGUAGAGAAAAAUUACAUGCACUAGGCAUAGUAUUAGCUAUAUGAUAGCCUGUCAUUCUUUGACCAGACUGCAAGCAUGCUCUAAGGUAUGUGGUUAAUCCUUCAAUUCUGCAGAACUGAAACAUCAGACUUGCUGCAUCCUGGCACUCAGCUAAGUUCAGAGAAACUCUGUCCAACUUCACAGAUUAGGUAAAUAUAUGUCACAAGCUUUGUAAUAAAACAUUAAAUCUGGAAAAACUUUGGAAGUGUUGGCUUAUUCAGUUGUGCUACAUCUUGGAACAGAAAUAUUGUCAAGAGAGUAGUCCCUUGGAGGCUGUUGACGUUCAUUAACUGAGCAUCAGAAAUGAUAAGCAUAGCAAUGAGUAGUCAUCAAACCAACUGAUCUUUUGCACUUUUCUUUUUAUCAUGUUCAACUCUCUCAUAAGAUCUAACCCAGUAGUAGAACAGGAGGAGCUUAAAUUUAUAUGUUGUCUUUCAUUGCCUCAGAAGGUCUGAAUAUCCUUUACUUGAUUGUCUAUAAAGUGUAGUCACUAACAUAGACCAAUGUGACAGCCAGUUUGCACAGUGGGUCCCACAAACAGCGAAUGAUAUGACUAUAAUCUGUUUUAGGUGUUGGUUCAGGGAUGAAUAUUUGGGAGGAUGAAGGGGGUACUUCACUGCUCAUUUGUUUUCAAAUAGUGACAUGGUAUCUUAUGUUCCUUCCCCUGCCCAUCCCACCCCAUUAAGAGGAUGGACAAGAUUAAUGCCUUCACAUUGUAUCACUCCCUGUGUAUCACUCUCCUCAGGAUCAUACUGAAAUGUUUGUCUGGAUUGGGUGCUGAAGUCUGUGGAAUGGAGUUUGAAUCCCAUGACCUUCUGUCUCUGAAUCAAGAGUGCAGCUUCUGCUGGAAAGAGGCAGACAAGGUAGCAUCAUGUGAAGACAAGGACAAGACUUAUACAUGUGACGAUUGACUCCCUUUAUGCAUGUAUAAUCCGGUCUGACUUCUCGAAGUGGAUGUAUGCUGCUAGAAAUGGUGCAUGUUGGAUGUGAUUUUAAAGGCUUGCAUUGCUGUAACACAAGGACAGGGGGAGGUUCCCUGGUCAAAUUCUGAGCAUUAAUCUAUCAAGAAUUUGAUUAAUUGGUCAUUUUUCAUGUCUGUCAAGACUAAUAGUGGGUACACUUUUUUUUUCAAAGCGAUUAUUUGAUU